rnacentral:rRNA from 1 species
UUAAGAAUCUUGCACAAUGGGCGCAAGCCUGAUGCAGCGACGCCGCGUGGAUGAUGAAGGCCUUCGGGUUGUAAAGUCCGGUAAGCAGGGAAGAAUAAGCGCCGGGUAAUAUUCGGUGUGAUGACGGUACCUGCCUAAAGCCCCGGCUAACUACGUGCCAGCAGCCGCGGUAAUACGUCUGGGGCGAGCGGUGUUCGGAAUUAUUGGGCGUAAAGGGCGGCUAGGCGGGGAUUUAAGUUAGGUGUGAAAGCUAUGGGCUCAACCCAUACAUUGCACCUAAAACUGGAUCUCUUGAGUGCGGGAGAGGAGAGCGGAAUUCCAGGUGUAGCGGUGAAAUGCGUAGAUAUCUGGAAGAACACCAGUGGCGAAGGCGGCUCUCUGGCCUAGGACUGACGCUGAAGCGCGAAAGCGUGGGGAGCGAACA